CCGUCGAGGUCGUGCACGCCUGAGAGCUUCCCGAGUUUUCUGCGUUCUUUGUGUGCUUCGCUGUGAUAUCUUUGGAGUAUUCCUGCGUGUUGCUCGCUUUUUAUGGGCUUGUUGCCUCGAAGAUCGCCAUGAUCGCCUCCGACUCGGCCGCAUCAAGGAUUCAAAAUGAGCUGGGAGAUGCCCCGGCUGGAACGCUAAAGGUUCACAUAGGUUGUAGGAGUGUACAUUGAGAAGGUUAUCCUUGCACAGCUUACCAUGGCCUGCCAUGGUGGACCAGGAAAGUUUGCAAGGGCCUUGCUUCACCAUGUGUUCACAGAGGAGGAGCUCAGGAGCUCACACCAAGGGGCAAAAGAGGCUCUUGACCCCACCAGGGUCAGUACUGUUAUAGGCUUCACGUGUCGCAAAUUUCCUGGUACCAACAUGCCCUAUGUAAAGAACUCUGGCCUCGCUUCUGGCAUGGGACCAAUAGCCUCUGAAGAGCCCAAGUUGGACAGCUCAAACCAAAACACAAGUGUUGUGCUUUUGUAACUCUCGUCAUUUUUAUGUUUUAUGUUAGUCUUCUGAAGGGCACAAUUUGGAUUUCUCAAAUGAGCAUACAAAUGUUGUGCCUUUCUAUAUGCCUUGACAUUUUUAUGUUAAUUUUAUUUAUGUUAAUUAUGCUAGUCUCCUGAGAAGCCCACAUUGAAUUGCUCAAUCCAGAAUACAAGUGCUGUGCUUUGUUAUAGUUCACUACAUUUUUAUGUUGGUUUUUGAUAUGGUUCCAGUAAGGAUAGUGUUUCCUUAUUAAUAUAUUGUUUAAGUAUCUUAAGUCAUUUCAUGCCAAACCACCCAAUUUUGUCAACUGUUCCAUUAUGGCCAACCGUUUCAAGUUUGCAUGAUUUUGAGUAGAUACAAUAAGAAAAUUUGCUUUCAUACAUACACUUGAGUAAUUCCAGGGCAACCAACCAGCGUUUUUUUUACCAUCACAGAUAUAGUUGAAGCUCCGAACUCUUGCUCCCCAUUUAUUUUCCUUCGCAAACAUUUUUUUGAAUUUUGGCAAAAAUUUAUUGUUCUUGCCCAGCUAAGCUAGAAGGCACUGAUACACGUUUCUUUGGAAAGGGAAAUGGUAUGAUCCAGAUAUUCAGAUGGUGUUCAUGUCAAGAGACUGAAGUGGUGUGACUGCCAAAAUUUGCAAAGUUUGAAUUUUCUUCUAAUGUAGGGAAAUGCAGAAGGAACAAAAGAAAUAUAAAGUCAGACGAGUUGACUUGGGAUAGCAGCAAAAUAUUUCAAGCCUUGGAGGUUUAGUUGAUCAGCUAAAAAAACUGUAAAGUUCAAAUUUUUUUGCAGAAAGCUUCAUGUUGAAGGUAAACAAGUUAGCUUUGGUGGUUGGCACAAAAGUAUAUGUCGCCCAUCAUUACACAGCCCUACAUGUCUGCUAUGCAUGUGGAAAGUAACAAAAAGGUAUUAUUCUUUAAGUGCGAUAAAUAAUUUUUUAUAAUGUUCAUUUGUGGAUCACACAUACAGCAUAAAUAUAUUAAGCCAUGUCAUCUAGCAAGGAAAGAUUGUUAAUAUAAUUAGCCACAAAAACUACUCAACAAACUGACAGGUGACGUCAAGUGCUGCAACUGCAGUCUCAACUCGUAUUUUUUUAACAUGAACGCAAAAAAUGGUCGCCAAUGGUGUCUGACCACAUCAGACUGAACAUGGCACACAUAUGACUUUUAUAGAUGAGCAUGUUCCGGCUCUGAAACAGUGGUAGCAAACAACACCACAAGAAUUUGUUCAUACUCAUGUAGGUUUUCAGUCUUAAUUAUGAAGGUGUUUUCUACUUGGAUCAUCAUUGGGCUCCAGGGAGCAGGGCACUAAGUGUCCUGCUCCCUCUAUGUUGCAUAGCAAUGUGACAUGCCCUUUAAAAUGCUUUGUAUGAACAAUACCAGUGCUCUUUAUGGAUUUGCUGUCCACAUAAUAGCUGAUAUUGCUUUUUGUAAACAGCAUGAAACAUAUCUUUUAGCACUGCAGGAUUCCCUCACAUAUUUAAUACGUACAAGGUCUGUUAGAACAGUAUUUGACCUUUUUUGCGAACACCUGAUGAAUAUGAAACAAGCGCAUUUUCAUCAGCUGCCCUUGAACCUUUGUACGCAUGCACGAAUUUUUUCCCGCCUGCCAAUAGCAAGAAUUGCUGGGACGCAGCGUUUGAAUGACGUAGUACACAGUGCUCUCGGUUUUUUAUUGCAAGGAAAAUGCCGGAGUGACUGGAGCAGUGCUACUGCAUCAAAUUUUGCGAGAAAAUGGGCGACAGCCAAGUGGAAACCAUU